GAACAACAAGGUUUCACGGCUUGGGCCUGCUCAUGCGCAAGACUUCAAAUUUAACUUAAAAACGUUGUUUUGGCGCCAAGCUGCUGUUUCUUUGAGCGAUCCUGCCUUUACCUGCUCCCUCCUAUACUGAUGUGGUGUAUGUGGUACUGCUGAGCUUGUAUGUGAUCUGAACCAGUGUAAAGGUUGCAGUUCAAGAGCCUGAGGUGGAAGCAGAAUUUGUGAGGAUUACUACUGCUCCACUUGUUCCAAGGCUUUUUGCACAACUUGACCAAUAGACCAAUGACCAGCUCAUAAAAGUCUUCAAGAAAAAAGGAGGCACUGCAGGGAAGAAAAUUAGACAAACUUUUGCCCCAGCCACACAGAAGCAAACUAUUGAAAAGGGGAGGGAGUGUGUCCUCAGGGCACUACCUUUUUACCUGAAUGAAGACCCAAGCAUCCUCUUCAAAGAAUAAUUGCUACAGCUACAGCUGUUCAGAGGGAGCUGGAACAAAUUACCCUUGCUAUCUUCACCAUCGAAAAAGCUGAUGUCAGCACUCCUCCAGCCGAUGUGGGUAUAACCAUCGAGGGUGUUCUGCAUGACCUGGAAGACAUGGCCUCUACAUGUGCACUCUUAAUGGGUGGGAUAUAUGCACUGAAUCGCAGUUAACCUCGAGACUGAAAGCUUUCUUUGAAGUACUUCAGAAGCUCUUCCUUCAUCUGUAUGUCAGCAGACUCUUGACCAAGGUACAGAUGCUCAAGAAUAAACUGAAUGAAUAAGCCAACCCUUAAUUUGGAUGAUGAAUGUUCUGUCAGAUGGACAGAAGUUUUUCAGAGGCUGAAUGGGAAUAAAACGGUAAUUUGUUGAAAAUGACAGAUAAAGGGAAAAUUACAUUUAAGAGAAAUUUUGAAAAGUUUGUAAACUACUACAAUUUGAGAGAUUUUACUCUUGUGGGUGGAGGGGGGGCUAGUAAGAGACAAUCAAAAGUAUUGAGAUUUAAAGGAUUUAAUUGAGAGAUGAUAGUGCACCAGAAAUGUUGAAGGGUGGUGUGUAUAUUAGCGUUCAAGGUAUAUUGUUAUGAGGUGGAAAUAUGUUCAUAUUCUGUUUGUGUUACAUUGUGUGCAUUGUAAAGGUAAUGGCAAUACAUACUAAGAAUAAGGGUAAGUUAGAAAUGCAGGAUGAAUGUAUAUUUUGCGGACUUUUAAAGACGAACAAUUGUUUCCAUGUUAAAAUGUUUACAACCCAAGUUUUUUGCCCAAACACUGGUAAAAUAAACGUUGAGGGUGGCAAGUGUUAAAUGGUUACUGCUGUGCUGUUGCAAAAAAAACUGAACGCUGACAAGCUGUUAUAUUGUUAGACCAUAAUGCUGGCAUGCUUUAUUUAAGUUUUAUUUGGGAUGGUGAUAUAAUUUUCUUUGAUUGCUAAUAUCAGUGGACUAUUCAUUAUUAUUAUUAUUAUUAUUAUUAUUAUUAUUAUUAUUAUUACAACAUUAUUUAUUUUUUUUAAUUGUGGCUGUUGAGGUGGACACUUCACUUUGCAUUGUUAAAGGAAAGCACUUCAUUGGCGUUGUGUUACUGGACUGACCCUAAGCAAUCAUUGCAAAUAGCAACUUUGCUAUCCAUUUUAGACACUAAAGGAAAAA
ensembl:lncRNA